UCGAAUUCCACCGGACCAUCCUCCUCCCAAAGGUCCGGUGGGUGGAAGCCCACGCUUCUCCUCCCAAUCGCGUGGGCUCUCGAAAGCCGCCCGUCGGGUCCUUUCCCCGACGGGCGCCCAGA
rnacentral:sRNA from 18 species